rnacentral:rRNA from 1 species
UACGUAGGGGGCAAGCGUUAUCCGGAUUUACUGGGUGUAAAGGGAGCGUAGACGGCAGAGCAAGUCUGAAGUGAAAGCCCGCGGCCCAACUGCGGGACUGCUUUGGAAACUGCCCGGCUAGAGUGCUGGAGAGGUAAGCGGAAUUCCUAGUGUAGCGGUGAAAUGCGUAGAUAUUAGGAGGAACACCAGUGGCGAAGGCGGCUUACUGGACAGUAACUGACGUUGAGGCUCGGAAGCGUGGGGAGCAAACAGG